ACCAACACUCAAGUCAGCUGCCCGGGUCAUAGUGCUCGGCUCAGUGUUACAGUGCUGGAAGAGGAAGCCCUGUAACCGCGACGGUUCUGCCGCCUCUGUUUUAGAGCUGGCUCUGCCGAAACGUUGCAAGGUUCGACCCGACGAGAGUGGCCUGAUCCGAUACCCCGCUGGUCAGGCCUAGUGUCGGGUCACACAUC